AUUGAACGCUGGCGGCAGGCCUAACACAUGCAAGUCGAGCGGAGCGGCGGACGGGGGAGGGAGGCCUAGGAAUCUGCCUGGUAGUGGGGGAUAAGGUCCGGAAACGGGCGCCAUUACCGCAUACUAUCAGAUGAGCCUCGGUCGGAUUAGCUAGUUGGUGGGGUAAAGGCCUACCAAGGCGACGAUCCGUAGCUGGUCUGAGAGGAUGAUCAGCCACACUGGAACUGAGACACGGUCCAGACUCCUACGGGAGGCAGCAGUGGGGAAUAUUGGACAAUGGGCGAAAGCCUGAUCCAGCCAUGCCGCGUGUGUGAAGAAGGUCUUCGGAUUGUAAAGCACUUUCAGUUGGGAGGCGUUACCAACAGAAAAAGCACCGGCUAACUUCGUGCCAGCAGCCGCGGUAAUAC
rnacentral:rRNA from 1 species